AGAGUUGAUCCUGGCUUAGGAUGAACGCUGGCGGCGUGCUUAACACAUGCAAGUCGAACGAAGCUCUCGGAACAGAGGAUUCGUCCAAAGGGAAGAGAUGACUUAGUGGCGGACGGGUGAGUAACGCGUGGGUAACCUGCCGUAUGCAGGGGGGACAACAGCUGGAAACGGCUGCUAAUACCGCAUAAGCGCACGUGAAGGCAUCUUCAAGUGUGAAAAGAUUUAUCGGCAUACGAUGGACCCGCGUCUGAUUAGGCAGUUGGCAGGGUAACGGCCUACCAAACCGACGAUCAGUAGCCGGCCUGAGAGGGUGAACGGCCACAUUGGGACUGAGACACGGCCCAAACUCCUACGGGAGGCAGCAGUGGGGAAUAUUGCACAAUGGGGGAAACCCUGAUGCAGCGACGCCGCGUGAGUGAAGAAGUAUUUCGGUAUGUAAAGCUCUAUCAGCAGGGAAGAAAAUGACGGUACCUGACUAAGAAGCCCCGGCUAACUACGUGCCAGCCGCUGC
rnacentral:rRNA from 1 species